UACAGAGGAUGCAAGCGUUAUCCGGAAUGAUUGGGCGUAAAGCGUUUGUAGGUGGCUUUUUAAGUUCGCCGUCAAAUCCCAGGGCUCAACCCUGGACAGGCGGUGGAAACUACCAAGCUGGAGUACGGUAGGGGCAGAGGGAAUCUCCGGUGGAGCGGUGAAAUGCGUAGAGAUCGGAAAGAACACCAACGGCGAAAGCGCUCUGCUGGGCCGACACUGACACUGAGAGACGAAAGCUAGGGGAGCGAAUGGG
rnacentral:rRNA from 1 species